CUCAAGGAGCCCAUCUAGAUGCAUGUAUUCACAAAACACGUAAGAAGUCUAGUUUUGGUGGGGAGGUGCAGGUUUUCCUGCCAGGGCCAGAAGGCUGCUCAGCAUGCCCCAGCUCCCCUGAGGCCAUCACUGCUCCUGUCCUCUCCUCUCUACCUGCCUUCUUCCUCUCUCAUUCACCCACACCCUGCCCUCUUCUUCUUUAGGCUCCUCUCUCCCAGACGCCUCACAGAAGUGGACUGCUCAUGUGACUUCACAUCAGCCGCUCAGGCCUGGAACUUUGACAGGGCCUCUAUGUACCAAGAGGUCCUCAGACUGACCCAUGAUGGCACCCAGCUACAGAACUUUACCCUGGAUCCAAACAGUCUCCUGGUGGAUGGAUGUUCUACCAAGAGAACAGAUGAAAAAACUAAGAAAAUUGGUGAGUAUGGCAUCAGCCUUGCCCCAUACCAGUUCCCUGUGUGUGUAUGUGUGUGUUGGGGGGGUGAGCUGAGGGUGAUCCUUGAAGAGUAGGAGAGUAGGGGGAGGGCAGGAACUGAGUGUCCAGGAUGACUUUCCUCUCACCCUAGCCAGCACUCAAUGCUGAGCGUCCAAGAACACUGUCUUGGACUGUGUUCAUCAGACAAAUGAACAGCGGUCAUCCCUACCAAUUGUCAGAUCCCUGAGUGUAUCUCCCCUUCCUGAGCACCCUGGGGAGGGCAGUGGACAUGGGGAAGGUUCUGUGCCCUGCACCUUAAGUCAUUCCCUGUCAUUGGAUAUGAUUCAGUAUCACUGUCACCUUUCUCUGUUCUGACAUUGGGUCCUUGCACUAUCACCCUCCCUUGUCCCAGGUUAUGACACUGGGGUCCCUGAACCGUCUUUUCUGCCUUAAGUGACCUUCCCUCAGUUUGCCCAAUUCCUUUUCUCCUAUGUCCUGAGCCCCAGCUGCUUUUUCUAAAUUCACUCCCAUAGUCUGCCCGCCCCCUUUCUCCUAGGUCAGCUUCUUCUGAAGAGCAAAGGUCUGGUGGCGUGGGAGUUGGGAGGAUGCUCUAGAUUGCAUCCUUCAGCCUCCAUCCUCCAUUUUCCCCAUGGAUUGCUCUUUGUCCCCUCCCUUCCCAUGGGGUGGGAAUUCCAAAGGACAUUUAUUCCCCACUCUGUGCUGUCCCCUUGUCCCCAUGAAGGCCCCUGAGCAUCACCUCUUCUCCCCCCAGACCUGCCCUACUGGGCCAUCAUUUUCAUGUGCCUGGCUAUGCUCCUGGGGCUCAUCCUUUGCCUUCUGUCCUGCUUCGUGGUAAGAGAACUUGGGCAACCCCUAAGAGCCACUAAGGGCUCUGUGUGUGUGUGUGUGUGUGUGUGUGUAUGUGAGAAAGAGAGAGAGAGAGAGAGAGAGAGAGAGAGAGAGAGAGAAGAAGGCUCGGGAUCUGUGUGUGUAUGAGACAGGAGUGUAAAGAUGUGUAGUAUAUUUGUGCGUGUGUCUGUGUAUGAGAGAGAAAGAGGGAGAGAGUGAGAGAGAGAGAGAGGAAGCCAUGGGAUC
rnacentral:lncRNA from 1 species